GUCCACGCCCUAAACGAUGUCUACUAGUUGUCGGGUCUUAAUUGACUUGGUAACGCAGCUAACGCGUGAAGUAGACCGCCUGGGGAGUACGGUCGCAAGAUUAAAACUCAAAGGAAUUGACGGGGACCCGCACAAGCGGUGGAUGAUGUGGAUUAAUUCGAUGCAACGCGAAAACCUUACCUACCCUUGACAUGGAAGGAAUCCCCGAGAGAUUGGGGAGUGCUCGAAAGAGAACCUUUACACAGGUGCUGCAUGGCUGUCGU
rnacentral:rRNA from 1 species